rnacentral:misc_RNA from 1 species
AGUUUUGCACGAACUUCCGAUCCCUCUGGUGGCAUUAGCCCGAUUAUACGUGAACGCAAUACGCAUGCGCAAAUAUGUGUGUAGAAGAACGUAGAAGUUUCGCGAAACCGGUGCCACUUCAGCCCGGAAAACGAUUAUUAGUACGGGACACGCCGCCACUUUGUAUGCGUGGUUCGUUUCGAGAGGGAAAGUUACGUUAUUUUCGGAUGUCGUCUCUCGUACUCACCUGGCACACGUUUUGCGCGAAAGUCUUCGUAACGCUUUGAUGCUUUGUCGAGGAGUUUAAUCGCUGUAACUCGAGAUACGUAGCGUUUGGAAACGCCAAUGGAUGGCUAUGCUCAAACGAAUGUGCUUGUGCAAUGUUCAGCUACUUUGAAUUAUAGGAGAAAUUUGCUUAGAACUUUGAGAGAGACUUAUUUUCGAAUAAAGUUUACUUUCAGAUUAUUUGGUAAUAAUUCAGUUAGAUAGCGGAUAAAUUUUUAGGUUAGCUUGUGCGGAAAUUUGUAUCGAUGUAAACACGAAGGUUUCUCUUAUUCUUCAAUUCAAAAAUUCUUUUAAUAAGAACUAAAAUCGCAUACACAAAUCUUGUAGCGAGAACGCUAAUUUUAAAAUUAAAUCGAGAAAUCCAACUAAGGCGAAAGUAACCACAAAAUCGCAAGAGUUAAUCGCUACGUUCCAAGAAAAUCGGUUCCUUGGGUGUCGUACGACAGAACCGACAGUAGCCUUCUCUCUCCGAGGAUGGUCAUGCACGGUGAGUUUACGAUCAAGAAAGGAACGAGGGAAAGAGAAGAGGAGGAUGUUUUAUGUAUUCGUUGCACGAGCGCCGUUUAUUGUUACACCACACCUAACGGCCAGGCCCGAAAUUGAUGACAAUUGCGCGCUGGAAAGGAACACGCCGCGGAUGAAUCAUCUCCUGCGUUCUUUUCCUCCCUGUGCCCCGACCUCUUUGUCUUUUCUGGGACCAAUGACUCGACCAUGUACCAGAAUUAACCGUGAUUUCUCCGGAAGACAGGAUCGAAAACGUCGGCUCUAUUUAGCCCUGUCAUCGUAUGUCAAUUAUACGAAUCUCUGUUGGAUCAGUUUAGUAUGGUAUGUUAGCUUUGAUUAUUUUUCUUUGUCGUUAAUCUUCUCAUGAACAUAUCAUUUUUAAUUGCAAAUAAUUUAACCGCAAAAAAAUUCAAAAGCAUCAACUUUACAACAAACAUAUAUUAAUCUGAGGAUCGACACGUACGGUAUUAAAAUCGAAGUCAGCUAUAUCCACGAAACUCUUUUAAACCGAAUAGGUCAAUGAUGUGUCGUAUCGUGUUUACGUCUCGGAAGAAAGAACAGGAACGUCCACGAAAGAAGGUGAAAUGGAAGAAAAGAAAAGAGGACUCGACGAUAGCUGGCGCGAUGAUACGAUCUCUCAUCAGCAAUAUGAAGCUAACAAAGCUCGACUGUACUUUUGCUUUCUUUAUGCGAGACAAAAGCACGUUUGCCGCGGGAAUUCGACAGCGGUUCCGAUUAAAAAAUUACGUUCGACGCCGAUAAAUAUUUUAUCCCAGAUUAAAUGGAAAAUCAUGUUGGCCGGUGCCCAUUGUCCAAUCUACGAUCCUUGUUCACUUUCGCGUUGUCGUCACCACCGUGCUCGUCGUCGUCGUCGUCGUCGUCGUCGUCGCCGUCGUCGUGGUUCUCGUCGUCAUGAUUCCUCUUUGCCCGUUUCCUCUUUGUCCUCGAUCGACGAUUCCCGAGGUCCUUUAAUAACGACCAUCGGUGAUUUAUCGACAACGCCAGGAAGAGUGGUCCGCCGCAGCGCCAGAUUCCCAGAUAGAUGGACACGGUUGGGAACAGGUAUAAGUACAUCGACCUCCGAUCGAUUUUAUCCCGUGCCUACGGCUUUUCCUCCGUGGCUGCCUUCCGCUUAACAUUUUCAUUUCGUGAUUCGAUUAACUCGAUUUGCAUCACCGGUAAAAAUUAAAGAUGCAUCCUUAUAAUGAAAACUUACGUGAAAUUCGUUGGUCCGGUUUAAUCUGAUAAAUUGCGAGGUAAUCUCGUUAAUAAUAUUUAAUCCCUGUUU